rnacentral:snoRNA from 1 species
AUGCCAUGAUGAGAACAUCUUCUGAGAAACUCUUUAAAUCUCUCCCAAGCCUCAUACAAGUUCUCAUCUUUAAUUUAGUGAAAAUAGGUGAUCUCAUUCCGCAAUUU